rnacentral:pre_miRNA from 1 species
UCUUAUGGAUGAGCAAAGAAAAUGGUUUCUUGAGGGAACCUACCUCUGGUGAAGAUGCUGUGAA